CCACCUGGAGCAAAAGGAAGAUGCGAGCCCCAGCAAGAGGAUGAUGUGUUUGGUCUCAGGGUGCAUCCAUGGGAGAGAGACCCCAAUGCAAAGCAGGGCCAGACACUAUCUCUGCUCUUAAGCAGGAGCUGCAGUAGUGUCAGACAGGGAGUCUGAGCUCUCCAUCCUUGCUGGUUACAGUGGAGCUCCAUGUUCAGCACCUGACUGAUCUACCAGUUUGGAGGGGGGACCCUUUAUGUCCUUUUAAAGGGAGUCUGAGUCAUUUCCUCUGCUGGAGAAUGAACAGUGCUGAGACUGUGCCCUAAGCCCUGCAGUGACACUUCGAGGGAUGGCGAGAGCCCCAUGGGAAAGCUUUCUGCUGGAGCUACUAGAGAUAGAGGAAGAAAUAUCCCCUUCCUACGUGAAUCCACGGACCAGGAGUAAAGA